rnacentral:rRNA from 1 species
AUUGAACGCUGGCGGCAUGCCUUACACAUGCAAGUCGAACGGCAGCACGGGAGCAAUCCUGGUGGCGAGUGGCGAACGGGUGAGCAAUAUAUCGGAACGUGUCCAGUAGUGGGGGAUAACUGCUCGAAAGAGCAGCUAAUACCGCAUACGACCUGAGGGUGAAAGGGGGGGAUCGCACGACCUCUCGCUAUUGGAGCGGCCGAUAUCAGAUUAGCUAGUUGGUGGGGUAAAGGCCUACCAAGGCAACGAUCUGUAGUUGGUCUGAGAGGACGACCAGCAACACUGGGACUGAGACACGGCCCAGACUCCUACGGGAGGCAGCAGUGGGGAAUUUUGGACAAUGGGCGCAAGCCUGAUCCAGCAAUGCCGCGUGCAGGAAGAAGGCCUUCGGGUUGUAAACUGCUUUUGUCAGGGAAGAAAUCCUCUAGGUUAAUACCCUUGGGGGGAUGACGGUACCUGAAGAAUAAGCACCGGCUAACUACGUGCCAGCAGCCGCCGUAACAC